CGUGUAGGCGGUUCAAUAGGUCCGGUGUGAAAACUCGAGGCUCAACCUCGAGAGGUCGUCGGAAACCAUUGAACUAGAGUCCGGAAGAGGAGAGUGGAAUUCCUGGUGUAGCGGUGAAAUGCGCAGAUAUCAGGAAGAACACCGAUGGCGAAGGCAGCUCUCUGGGACGGUACUGACGCUAAGACGCGAAAGCGUGGGGAGCGAACAGGAUUAGAUACCCUGGUAGUCC
rnacentral:rRNA from 1 species